rnacentral:lncRNA from 1 species
GGGGGAGUGGAGUGUUCUCUGACUCGCCGGAGGACAGGGACGUUCCCUUCCGAGGUCUGCUGAGUGACAGGUGCUCCCUAAGUCCUGAUGCGGGUGUGACAGAGGGCCGGGCUUCGGCGUUCAACAGGUGGUCCCUGCUGGGCGCCGCCAGUCGACGGCGGACAGGAACUGGCCGAGGCUUCAGUCUCCUGCUUUGGCACUUGUGAGACUUUUCACCUGCACCAACGUGGCCCCAGCACCUCCCACCGCCGGCCAGUGAGGCGAGCCAGCUGCUUGAGUGUCCAGAGGCUGCUCCCCGCCCAGCCUGCCUUGCUGUGUGCCCACAAGCCUGAUGGCCCAGAGACGUUUGUCAGAGGAAUGCCUGACGGCGUGAGUGAGCGGACGUCUUCCUCCGUGAAUUGCCUUGCUGCCUACGGAGGCAGGACCAGAGGCUCCCUACCUGGCUGUCGGAACUAUGGGACGAUAGGGUGGCCCACUGUGUCCACCCCACCACCUCCCG